rnacentral:rRNA from 2 species
GGUUGCGAUCAUACCAGCACUAAUGCACCGGAUCCCAUCAGAACUCCGCAGAUAAGCGUGCUUGGGCGAGAGUAGUACUAGGAUGGGUGACCACCUGGGAAGUCCUCGUGUUGCAACCC